rnacentral:rRNA from 1 species
CCUACGGGGGGCUGCAGUGGGGAAUAUUGGACAAUGGGGGCAACCCUGAUCCAGCCAUGCCGCGUGUGUGAAGAAGGCCCUCGGGUUGUAAAGCACUUUCAGUGAGGAAGAACGCCUGGUGGUUAAUACCCAUCAGGAAAGACAUCACUCACAGAAGAAGCACCGGCUAACUCCGUGCCAGCAGCCGCGGUAAUACGGAGGGUGCGAGCGUUAAUCGGAAUUACUGGGCGUAAAGCGCGCGUAGGUGGCUUGAUAAGCCGGUUGUGAAAGCCCCGGGCUCAACCUGGGAACGGCAUCCGGAACUGUCAAGCUAGAGUGCAGGAGAGGAAGGUAGAAUUCCCGGUGUAGCGGUGAAAUGCGUAGAGAUCGGGAGGAAUACCAGUGGCGAAGGCGGCCUUCUGGACUGACACUGACACUGAGGUGCGAAAGCGUGGGUAGCAAACAGGAUUAGCUACCCCAGUAGUC